CCUUCCUGCAAUUAACAAAGUCUCGUUUCUACCAUUUCGUUGCAUUAUAAAUAAAUAUUGGGGCAAAAAGUGAAGGAACAUUGAACACUAGUAAAGAAAUUAUAUUCCUCACCACACUAAAUUGCUUUGUGAGUUUGUUUCAUGAUUUCACUCAAUAUUUUUGUGUUCUUUGCAUCAGUCAUCUGCCAAAAUGGCUGAGCUCUGAGAUUAUGAAAUUAUCUAUUUCCUACCAAUUGAAACGUUGUUAUUUCUUAUACUAUGUUUCCUUUCAUAUGGUAGUCAGAAAGACGCUGGAUGCUGGGAUUGCCUAUGGAGGUUCCUGCAUCAGUGAAUACUGGAUUGCCACAACAAACAAAUAACACGGAGCUAAUUGAUCCUGCUGCUUUGCCCGAAACGCCCGUGUCAGCAUGAGAGAAUGUUUAAGAACUCUUAAACAUCAAAUAAGGAUAACAAUACCCGAGCUAUGAGAGCAUUUUAACCUCUCUUGAUCCAUGUUAAAAAUGUCUUCAAGGAUCCUGACGAGGGGAAGUUCAGAAAGAUUCGCAUCAGCAAUCCUGCAUUCCAGGAGAGAGUUGGCAGAUUCGAGGAAGGUGUGAAGUUUCUUGAGCUCUGCGGGUUUGAAAGAGUUGAGGGAGGCAACUCUUAACAAGUGUUUAUUUGGAUUGGCUACGUCAUGAUCUCCAUAAACAUGAGUCUACUUCCAUUCUGAUAUUUUUUUUAUGAUGGCAGAUUUCGAGAGGUUUUCUGGAAGCUGCUAGAAUAGGAGUGGUAGGAGCUGAAGAAUCAGAUCUGUGUUGGAGAUUUUAUUUGAGGAGCAAAGUUAGGAGAUUUAGAGAUUAAAGUUGAAGUGAAUAUAUAAGAGCUAGCUUGGAUCCUUCCAUUCGAGAUCAAAUAGGAAAUGAAGUGCAACAAGAAGUGUGGGGCCAAAUGCAGCAAGAAUUACUUAAGCAAAGACGCUAGCAAAAACUGGAGAUGGAAUAGAUGAUGAAGCGGUUUAUGUCCAAGCAACCCCAACAAUCAAGUCACACUCAUGAUGGUGUCGAUGAUGAUGCUACUAGUUAGAAUUGAUGUCUCACAAACAAACUUCUAAACUCGAUACUUUAUGCUUCGUACGUUCGUUAUGUUUUGACGAAAAGUUUUGAGGUUUAUCUAUCAUGAUUAUUAUUUUGUUUCUUAUUA